AUUGAACGCUGGCGGCAGGCCUAACACAUGCAAGUCGGGCGAGCCGCGGACGGGUGAGUAAUGUAUGGGGAUCUGCCUGAUGGAGGGGGAUAAAUACUGGAAACGGUAGCUAAUACCGCAUACCAUGAGAUGAACCCAUAUGGGAUUAGCUUGUAGGUGAGGUAACGGCUCACCUAGGCGACUCUCCCUAGCUGGUCUGAGGGGAUGACCAGCCACACUGGAACUGAGACACGGCCCAGACUCCUACGGGAGGCAGCAGUUGGGAAUAGUGCACAAUGGGCGCAAGCCUGAUGCAGCCAUGCCGCGUGUAUGAAGAAGGCCUUCGGGUUGUAAAGUACUUUCAGUCGGGAGGCGUUAACGACAGAAGAAGCACCGGCUAACUCCGUGCCAGCAGCCGCGGUAAUUC
rnacentral:rRNA from 1 species